rnacentral:rRNA from 1 species
GUCUAUGACCCUACCACUCUGAGUGCACCCAAUCUUGUCUGGUCUGGAAAGCUAAGCAAGGUAGGGCUGGCUUAGUAGUUGGAUGGAAGACAGAUCUUCAGAGGAGAUUGCUCAGAGACA